rnacentral:rRNA from 1 species
AGCUCCAAUAGCGUAUAUUAAAGUUGUUGCGUUUAAAAAGCUCGUAGUCGGCUAUCGGGCGGCGGCCAAUGGUUCGGUUCCGUGCCGAUACUGCUGGUCGCGGCCUCCUCGCCGGUCGUCUUGGGGUGCCCUUAACUGAGUGCCUUAAGUAGCCGGGGCGUUUACUUUGAAAAAAUUAGAGUGUUCAAGGCAGGCGUUUAGCCUGAAUCUUCGUGCAUGGAAUAAUGGAAUAGGACCUCGGUUCUAUUUUGUUGGUCUUCGGAACUAGAGGUAAUGAUUAAUAGGAACAGGCGGGGGCAUUCGUAUUGCGGCGUUAGAGGUGAAAUUCUUGGAUCGUCGCAAGACGGACUAUUGCGAAAGCAUUUGCCAAGUAUGUUUUCA